ACAUCGAUAGCUCAGUGGCAGAGCGGUGGGGCGUUUACCUACGCGGCCCGGGUCCGAUUCCCGGUCGAUGUA